UACGUAGGGCGCAAGCGUUGUCCGGAAUUAUUGGGCGUAAAGAGCUCGUAGGCGGUUUGUCGCGUCGGCUGUGAAAACCUGGGGCUCAACCCUGGGCUUGCAGCUGAUACGGGCAGACUGGAGUUCGGCAGGGGAGACUGGAAUUCCUGGUGUAGCGGUGAAAUGCGCAGAUAUCAGGAGGAACACCGGUGGCGAAGGCGGGUCUCUGGGCCGAUACUGACGCUGAGGAGCGAAAGCGUGGGGAGCGAACAGG
rnacentral:rRNA from 1 species